rnacentral:lncRNA from 1 species
GGGAUCGAACUCGGGAAUUUGAGCUUGCCAGGCAGGCGCGGUGCCACGGAGCUAAAUCUCCGACCCGUAGAGGCCUUUCUAAAAGAAGAGCGUCGUAUCCGGAAGUUUUCCAGGAGUGCUCCAUAGCCGGAACAGUGGAUCCAGGAAUCUGGGUCUCGCUCCGUUGUUUCUGGGUCUUGAGAAAGGAAGUGCAGCCCUCUGGCUCCUCACUGUUGCUUCUCUAGUUUUCUAGCUCCUUUUAGAAAAUUGAGUUUGGAUGCAACAUGUCAAGACAAUCCUUUAAGAAGUGUGGCUGUAAAGGAAAAGAGAAAGGUGUUCCUGAAAGAUUAACAAGGAAGAAGAUGCCCUGGAAAAUGCAUUUCUGAGACAUCUACAUUUGCUGACUCAGACCCUUUCCUAUUUCCUCAAUAUAAAGACGCCAGCUUCUCCCCGUGACAGAGCAAUUCCUCCCUUGGGAACUUACCCACCAUCCCUCUUGACAUUGUUUUCUGAUCUAAGUAAACUCUUGCCUUUAUUUUUAUUCUAGUCUUGGUAAAUUCUUUUACUGCUCACAUCACCAGUAAUGCUGUCUUGCAGGGCAGUAGUGAGGAAGAGAUUAAAGAUACUGCCAAAAAAGAGGAUAACUGACUGAUUACCUAAAGGAACAGGAGGAGAUGGGAUCCAUAGACCAGGUCCAUAAAUUACCUUAGAUUGAAGAUAGAACCAGGAAAGAGGAUGUCAAAGUCGAUAUAGCCCAUUAAAUACUUGGGGAAUUAUUGUGGGUUACCAUAUCCCAUUCCAUACUUUUCUAAUGACAUUAGGAUAAUGGUAGCCAGCUGUGCAUGUCAGUAGCUGCACCUAAGGGAUACAAGCAGUACUUUUUUUUUUUGGUACCGGGGAUCGAACUCUGGUCCUUGCACUUGUGAGGCAAGCAGUGAAACCACUGAGC